GGAAUCUUCCACAAUGGGCGAAAGCCUGAUGGAGCAACGCCGCGUGUGUGAUGAAGGGUUUCGGCUCGUAAAACACUGUUGUAAGAGAAGAAUGACGUUGAGAGUAACUGUUCAAUGUGUGACGAUAUCUUACCAGAAAGGAACGGCUAAAUACGUGCCAG
rnacentral:rRNA from 1 species